rnacentral:rRNA from 1 species
AGAGUUUGAUCCUGGCUCAGAACGAACGCUGGCGGAGUGCUUAAGACAUGCAAGUCGUACGCGAAAGUCACCUUCGGGUGGCGAGUAGAGUGGCGCACGGGUGAGUAACGCGUGGGUAAUCUGCCCUCAGGUCCGGGACAACUUCGGGAAACUGAAACUAAUACCGGCUAAGACUUCGAAGCCUUCGGGUUUUGCGGAAAAAGAUGGCCUCUUCUUGAAAGCUAUCGCCUGUGGAUGAGCCCGCGUCCCAUUAGCUUGUUGGUGAGGUAAGAGCUCACCAAGGCUUCGAUGGGUAGCUGGUCUGAGAGGAUGAUCAGCCACACUGGAACUGAGACACGGUCCAGACUCCUACGGGAGGCAGCAGUCGGGAAUAUUGGGCAAUGGGCGCAAGCCUGACCCAGCAACUCCGCGUGAGGGAUGAAGGCCUUCGGGUCGUAAACCUCUGUCGGGAGGGAAGAAAGGGCCGCAGUCGAAUACGCUGCGGUUUUGACGGUACCUCCAAAGGAAGGUCCGGCUAACUCCGUGCCAGCAGCCGCGGUAAUACGGAGGGACCAAGCGUUGUUCGGAAUCAUUGGGCGUAAAGCGGGCGCAGGCGGUCUGUCAAGUCGGGUGUGAAAGCCCAGGGCUCAACCCUGGAACUGCACUCGAAACUGGCAGACUAGAGUCUCGGAGAGGGUGGCGGAAUUCCCGGUGUAGAGG